ACUCAAAGGAAUAGACGGGGACCCGCACAAGCGGUGGAUGAUGUGGAUUAAUUCGAUGCAACGCGAAAAACCUUACCUACCCUUGACAUGUCAGGAAGUCUGCUGAGAGGUGGAUGUGCCCGAAAGGGAACCUGAACACAGGUGCUGCAUGGCUGUCGUCAGCUCGUGUCGUGAGAUGUUGGGUUAAGUCCCGCAACGAGCGCAACCCUUGUCAUUAAUUGCCAUCAUUCAGUUGGGCACUUUAAUGAGACUGCCGGUGACAAACCGGAGGAAGGUGGGGAUGACGUCAAGUCCUCAUGGCCCUUAUGGGUAGGGCUUCACACGUCAUACAAUGGUCGGUACAGAGGGUCGCCAACCCGCGAGGGGGAGCCAAUCCCACAAAGCCGAUCGUAGUCCGGAUCGCAGUCUGCAACUCGACUGCGUGAAGUCGGAAUCGCUAGUAAUCGUGGAUCAGCAUGUCACGGUGAAUACGUUCCCGGGUCUUGUACACACCGCCCGU
rnacentral:rRNA from 1 species